rnacentral:rRNA from 1 species
CCUACGGGAGGCAGCAGUGAGGAAUAUUGGUCAAUGGACGAGAGUCUGAACCAGCCAAGUAGCGUGAAGGAUGACUGCCCUAUGGGUUGUAAACUUCUUUUAUAAAGGAAUAAAACGAGGCACGUGUGCCUUUUUGCAUGUACUUUAUGAAUAAGGAUCGGCUAACUCCGUUCCAGCAGCCGCGGUAAUACUGAGGAUCCGAGCGUUAUCCGGAUUUAUUGGGUUUAAAGGGAGCGUAGAUGGGUUGUUACGUCAGUUGUGAAAGUUUGCGGCUCAACCGUAAAAUUGCAAUUGAUACUGGCAGUCUUGAGUACAGUUGAGGUAGGCGGAAUUCGUGGUGUAGCGGUGAAAUGCUUAGAUAUCACGAAGAACCCCGAUUGCGAAGGCAGCCUACUAAACUGUGACUGACAUUGAUGCUCGAAAGUGUGGGUAUCAAACAGGAUUAGAUACCCUUGUAGUC